AUACGUAGGUGGCAAGCGUUGUCCGGAUUUAUUGGGCGUAAAGCGAGCGCAGGCGGUUUCUUAAGUCUGAUGUGAAAGCCCCCGGCUCAACCGGGGAGGGUCAUUGGAAACUGGGAAACUUGAGUGCAGAAGAGGAGAGUGGAAUUCCAUGUGUAGCGGUGAAAUGCGUAGAUAUAUGGAGGAACACCAGUGGCGAAGGCGGCUCUCUGGUCUGUAACUGACGCUGAGGCUCGAAAGCGUGGGGAGCAAACAGGAUUAGAUACCCUGGUAGUCCACGCCGUAAACGAUGAGUGCUAAGUGUUGGAGGGUUUCCGCCCUUCAGUGCUGCAGCUAACGCAUUAAGCACUCCGCCUGGGGAGUACGACCGCAAGGUUGAAACUCAAAGGAAUUGACGGGG
rnacentral:rRNA from 1 species